GGGGGUGUAGCUCAGUGGUAGAGACCUUGCCUAGCAUGCCCAAGGACUGGGCUCAAUCCCCAGCACCACCA
rnacentral:tRNA from 1 species